GAUGAACGCUAGCGACAGGCUUAACACAUGCAAGUCGAGGGGCAGCGGGGGUGUAGCAAUACACCUGCCGGCGACCGGCGCACGGGUGAGUAACACGUAUGGAACCUGCCCCCUGCCGGGGGAUAAGCGGAAGAAAUUCCGUCUAAUACCGCAUAACACCGUCCGCGGGCAUCCGCGGAUGGUCAAAGGAGUGAUCCGGCAGGGGAUGGACAUGCGGCGCAUUAGCUUGUUGGCGGGGUAACGGCCCACCAAGGCGACGAUGCGUAGGGGUUCUGAGAGGAAGGUCCCCCACAUUGGAACUGAGACACGGUCCAAACUCCUACGGGAGGCAGCAGUGAGGAAUAUUGGUCAAUGGGCGGAAGCCUGAACCAGCCAAGUCGCGUGAGGGAAGACGGUCCUAUGGAUUGUAAACCUCUUUUGCAGGGGAGCAAUGCCCGGCACGUGUACCGGGAGGGAGAGUACCCUGAGAAAAAGCAUCGGCUAACUCCGUGCCAGCCGCCGCAGUAACAC
rnacentral:rRNA from 1 species